UGUGAGUUCUAUUUUUCUUUUGGGUUCAAAUGUAAAAAUCAUCAUUGUGAGAAUUAAUAAUCUGUUGUUUGUGCGAGUUUUUCUUUUGCGAAAUGCGCAUGUCCUGCGAGAAUAUUCUUGAUUUAUGAGAUUUGGACACGUGCAUGAAUCCACGACUCCACAAUCUGUAAUUACUAACGUUUGAGAGCCCCGACUUAAGGGUCUUCGUGCAUUGCAAGCUCUGUACAUUUUGUACUACAGCUCAGGACACACUUCUCAGACAUUAUAGAUUGAAGCACUGGCGUGGACCAUAUUCAUCAUUUCCUUGCAUUCACAGUGACUGCAUUUGUUCAUUCCGGACUGCAGGACCUCACUUUUUCCCUGAGAAUAAAGGAGAUUGUCAUGGAUGAACCGCUGGUCUCUGUAGUCCAACAGAGAUGGCCAGGCCUUCUCAUAGAGC